rnacentral:rRNA from 1 species
AUUGAACGCUGGCGGCAGGCCUAACACAUGCAAGUCGAGCGGCAGCAGAGUGAUUGCUCCUUGAUACAGCUGCGGACGGGUGGGCGGUGCCGAGAUAUAUGCCUGGCUGCGGGUUCGAACGUCCUGACACAGGGACUCAUACGCUAUUAGUCCAGACGGCGUACGGGGGGGAGCAUCGGACCUUCGGACCUCGCACGAGUCUAUGGCCCGAUGUCGGAUUAGCUAGUUGGCGGGGUAAAGGCCCACCAAGGCGACGAUCCGUAGCUGGUCUGAGAGGAUGAUCAGCCACACUGGAACUGAGACACGGUCCAGACUCCUACGGGAGGCAGCAGUGGGGAAUAUUGGACAAUGGGCGAAAGCCUGAUCCAGCCAUGCCGCGUGUGUGAAGAAGGCCUUCGGAUUGUAAAGCCCUUUAGGUUGGGAGGAAGGGCAGUAAGUUAAUACCUCGCUGUUUUGACGGUACCAAAAGAAUAAGCACCGGCUAACUUCGUG